rnacentral:rRNA from 1 species
ACGUCCAAGCAGUGAGAUUGAGUGUUAGGCAAAUCCGGCACUCUUAAGAUUGAGCUGUGAUGGGGAGAGGAACUUGUUCCUCGAGUCGUUGAUUUCACACUGCCGAGAAAAGCCUCUAGCUAGAAUAACGGUGCCCGUACCGCAAACCGACACAGGUAGUCAAGAUGAGAAUUCUAAGGUGAGCGAGCGAACUCUCGUUAAGGAACUCGGCAAAAUGACCCCGUAACUUCGGGAGAAGGGGUGCUCUUUGAGGUUCACGCUUCGAAGAGCCGCAGUGAAUAGGCCCAAGCGACUGUUUAUCAAAAACACAGGUCUCUGCUAAACCGUAAGGUGACGUAUAGGGGCUGACGCCUGCCCGGUGCUGGAAGGUUAAGAGGAGUGGUUAGCGCAAGCGAAGCUACGAAUCGAAGCCCCAGUAAACGGCGGCCGUAACUAUAACGGUCCUAAGGUAGCGAAAUUCCUUGUCGGGUAAGUUCCGACCCGCACGAAAGGCGUAACGAUUUGGGCACUGUCUCAACGAGAGACUCGGUGAAAUCAUAGUACCGGUGAAGAUGCCGGUUACCCGCGACAGGACGGAAAGACCCCGUGGAGCUUUACUGUAGCCUGAUAUUGAAAUUCGGUACAGUUUGUACAGGAUAGGUAGGAGCCUUAGAAGCGUGAGCGCUAGCUUACGUGGAGGCAUUGGUGGGAUACUACCCUAAUUGUAUUGGAUUUCUAACCCGCAGCACUUAUCGUGCUGGGAGACAGUGUCAGGCGGGCAGUUUGACUGGGGCGGUCGCCUCCUAAAGAGUAACGGAGGCGCUCAAAGGUUCCCUCAGAAUGGUUGGAAAUCAUUCAUAGAGUGUAAAGGCAUAAGGGAGCUUGACUGCGAGACCUACAAGUCGAGCAGGGUCGAAAGACGGACUUAGUGAUCCGGUGGUUCCGCAUGGAAGGGCCAUCGCUCAACGGAUAAAAGCUACCCCGGGGAUAACAGGCUUAUCUCCCCCAAGAGUUCACAUCGACGGGGAGGUUUGGCACCUCGAUGUCGGCUCAUCGCAUCCUGGGGCUGUAGUCGGUCCCAAGGGUUGGGCUGUUCGCCCAUUAAAGCGGUACGCGAGCUGGGUUCAGAACGUCGUGAGACAGUUCGGUCCCUAUCCGUCGUGGGCGUAGGAAAUUUGAGAGGAGCUGUCCUUAGUACGAGAGGACCGGGAUGGACAUACCUCUGGUGUACCAGUUGUCGUGCCAACGGCAUAGCUGGGUAGCUAUGUAUGGACGGGAUAAGUGCUGAAAGCAUCUAAGCAUGAAGCCCCCCUCGAGAUGAGAUUUCCCAACUUCGGUUAUAAGAUCCCUCAAAGAUGAUGAGGUGAAUAGGUUCGAGGUGGAAGCGUAGCGAUACGUGGAGCUGACGAAUACUAAUCGAUCGAAGACUUAAUCAA